UACGGAGGGGGCUAGCGUUGUUCGGAAUUACUGGGCGUAAAGCGCACGUAGGCGGAUCGUUAAGUCGGGGGUGAAAUCCUGGAGCUCAACUCCAGAACUGCCUUCGAUACUGGCGAUCUUGAGUCCGGAAGAGGUGAGUGGAACUCCUAGUGUAGAGGUGGAAUUCGUAGAUAUUAGGAAGAACACCAGUGGCGAAGGCGGCUCACUGGUCCGGUACUGACGCUGAGGUGCGAAAGCGUGGGGAGCAAACAGG
rnacentral:rRNA from 1 species